rnacentral:ncRNA from 1 species
AUCCUGAUUGAUUCUGUCAGCGCGAUAUGCUCAAGUAAAAGAUAAGCCAUGCAUGCUUUGAUUCAUAAAUGAAAUUGCGUACGGCUCAUUAGAGCAGAUAUCACCUUUCUCGGAAUCCUGAAAAGGAUAACUGCGGAAAUUCUGGAGCUAAUACAUGCGACUAUACUCCAACGCAAGGCGGGGUGCAAUUAUUAGAACAGACCAAACGUUUUCGGACGUUGUUUGUUGACUCUGAAUACCGUCGUUUACUGUCAGUUUCGACUGACUCUAUCCGAGAAGGGUGUCUGCCCUUUCAACUAGAUGGUAAUCUAUUGGACUACCAUGGUUGUUACGGGUAACGGAGAAUUAGGGUUCGACUCCGGAGAGGGAGCCUUAGAAACGGCUACCACGUCCAAGGAAGGCAGCAGGCGCGAAACUUAUCCACUGUUGAGUAUGAGAUAGUGACUAAAAAUAUAAAGACUCAUCCUUUUGGAUGAGUUAUUUCAAUGAGUUGAAUAUAAAUUAUUCUUCGAGUAGCAAGGAGAGGGCAAGUCUGGUGCCAGCAGCCGCGGUAAUUCCAGCUCUCCUAGUGUAUCUCGUUAUUGCUGCGGUUAAAAAGCUCGUAGUUGGAUCUAGGUUACGUGCCGCAGUUCGCAAUUUGCGUUAACUGUGGUCGUGACUUCUAAUUUGCUGGUUUGAGGUUGGGUUCGCCCUUCAACUGCCAGCAGGU